GAUGAACGCUGGCGGCGUGCCUAAUACAUGCAAGUCGAGCGAACAGACGAGGAGCUUGCUCCUCUGACGUUAGCGGCGGACGGGUGAGUAACACGUGGAUAACCUACCUAUAAGACUGGGAUAACUUCGGGAAACCGGAGCUAAUACCGGAUAAUAUAUUGAACCGCAUGGUUCAAUAGUGAAAGACGGUUUUGCUGUCACUUAUAGAUGGAUCCGCGCCGCAUUAGCUAGUUGGUAAGGUAACGGCUUACCAAGGCGACGAUGCGUAGCCGACCUGAGAGGGUGAUCGCCCACACUUGAACUGAGACACGGUCCCGACUCCUCCGGGCGGCAGCAGUAGGGACUCUUCCGCAAUGGGCGAAUGCCUGACGGUGCAACGCCGCGUGAGUGAUGAAGGUCUUCGGAUCGUAAAACUCUGUUAUUAGGGAAGAACAAAUGUGUAAGUAACUAUGCACGUCUUGACGGUACCUAAUCAGAAAGCCACGGCUAACUACGUG
rnacentral:rRNA from 1 species